rnacentral:tRNA from 1 species
ACCCGGCUAGCUCAGAUGGUAGAGCAUGGGAUCCUUGAUCUCAGGAUUGGGGGUUUGAGCCCCAUGCUGGGCG